AACGAACGCUGGCGGCAGGCUUAACACAUGCAAGUCGAGCGCCCCGCAAGGGGAGCGGCAGACGGGUGAAUAACGCGUGGGAAUCUACCCAUCUCUACGGAAUAACGCAUGGAAACGUGUGCUAAUACCGUAUACGUCCUUCGGGAGAAAGAUUUAUCGGAGAUGGAUGAGCCCGCGUUGGAUUAGCUAGUUGGUGGGGUAAAGGCCUACCAAGGCGACGAUCCAUAGCUGGUCUGAGAGGAUGAUCAGCCACACUGGGACUGAGACACGGCCCAGACUCCUACGGGAGGCAGCAGUGGGGAAUAUUGGACAAUGGGCGCAAGCCUGAUCCAGCCAUGCCGCAUGAGUGAUGAAGGCCCUAGGGUUGUAAAGCUCUUUCACCGGUGAAGAUAAUGACGGUAACCGGAGAAGAAGCCCCGGCUAACUUCGUGCCAGCCGCCGCUGUAAAAC
rnacentral:rRNA from 1 species